ACAGCAGUAGCCGCGGUAAUACGUAGGUGGCAAGCGUUGUCCGGAAUUAUUGAGCGUAAAGCGCGCGCAGGUGGUUUAAUAAGUCUGAUGUGAAAGCCCACGGCUCAACCGUGGAGGGUCAUUGGAAACUGUUAAACUUGAGUGCAGGAGAGAAAAGUGGAAUUCCUAGUGUAGCGGUGAAAUGCGUAGAGAUUAGGAGGAACACCAGUGGCGAAGGCGGCUUUUUGGCCUGUAACUGACACUGAGGCGCGAAAGCGUGGGGAGCAAACAGGAUUAGAUACCCCGGUAGUCCCUGUCUCUUAUAC
rnacentral:rRNA from 1 species